GACGAACGCUGGCGGCGUGCCUAAUACAUGCAAGUAGAACGCUGAAGGAGGAGCUUGCUCUUCUGGAUGAGUUGCGAACGGGUGAGUAACGCGUAGGUAACCUGCCUGGUAGCGGGGGAUAACUAUUGGAAACGAUAGCUAAUACCGCAUAAGAGUAGAUGUUGCAUGACAUUUGCUUAAAAGGUGCAAUUGCAUCACUACCAGAUGGACCUGCGUUGUAUUAGCUAGUUGGUGGGGUAACGGCUCACCAAGGCGACGAUACAUAGCCGACCUGAGAGGGGGAUCGGCCCACAUGGGAAUGAGACACGGCCCAAACCCCCAGGGGAGGGCAGAGGAGGGAAACUUCGGGAAAGGGGGGAAGCUUGACCGAGAAACGCCGGGGGGGUGAAGAAGGUUUUCGGAUUGUAAAGCCCUGUUUUAAGAAAAAAAAGGGGGGGGAGGGGGAAAGUUCACACUGGGGCGGUAUCUUACCAGAAAGGGGAGGCUAACUACG
rnacentral:rRNA from 1 species